AUAAGUCACUGGUAGGAGAUACCACAAUCACAAAGGCUAUUUUCUCAGAAUGAGAAAUAACCACUGAACUCUGGAUGUGCUCCCCAAAUGGGGGAAACUCAGCUGCGUAAUUUGUGGUGGUGGUGGUGGGGGGGCCCAUGUUCAAA
rnacentral:snRNA from 1 species